rnacentral:misc_RNA from 1 species
AACGCGCCUUGCGCUCCUUGGUAUUCCGAGGAGCAUGCCUGUUUGAGUGUCGUUUAAGUUCCUAUCAAGCCCCUUUGGUUUAUUCGAAGUGGGAUUGGAUUGUGGAGGCUUAUGCUGGAUGGUGCAAUUGCUUGUGCCUCAGCUCCUCUGAAUUAUAUUGGCGAAAUUUGUGGACGGGCUGCGCAUAUAAUAUAUGGAAGGGCUCAGUCGGUGUGAUAAUGAUCAUCGUCGUAGCUUUCUUAAAUGUGAUGUGCUCCUGUUGGAACCGCCUUACAAAAAAAAAAAGUAACGAGGAGUAGUGUGCCGGUGUCACCUACAACUUGUUUUGCAGCUUUGACCUCAAAUCAGGCAGGACUACCCGCUGAACUUAA